AGUGUUGAGGGCAGAGCCACAGGAUCACUGCUAAACACUUCACUAAAUACACUUUUCCUACUCAUUUGACAUGAUCCAGAAUUUGUCAUUUCUUAAAAGACUUGUUGGCCCGACUGCAGAUCCGCAGCACCCGGCUCCGACUGGUGCACACGAGAGGGGCCGUGGCGCACAUUGCCUUGUCCAGCAGAGACUCGCGCCCAGCCCCGCUUCACACCUGGUCCAGACCGACCCAGCCCUUAGAGCCAAACCUUAUACUGAAGCUAUGGAUCUGACUUGCCGAUUUCCCUUACCUACAUUGUUCUAACAUACCAGCAGCCCCUUUUGCACACCCUGGUUGGAGCUCCCCCUCCCCUCCUUGCGGGGGAAGGCCAGGGUGCCAGGAGGGUUAAGCCAUCAUCUGCAGCGAGGGGGGGGGAUGGCCGGCAGGCGGCGGGCGGCCUCGACCAGUGUCUAGGUGUCUAGCAGCUGGCUUAGAACUGGUGCAGACCAGUGGAAUUAGACUGCUUAAAACAAAGCAUCGCGAAGGCCCGUGGCGGGUGUUGAUGCAAUGUGAUUUCUGCCCAGUGCUCUGAAUGUCAAAGUGAAGAAAUUCAAUGAAACGCGUAUGGCUAUGUCAUCGGUUCCUAUCAUUAGCACUCUGAUGCGAUCGGAAGAAGCACAAGUAAAACUCCAGAAAUUCUGGAUACAGGUUGGAGGUGAUGUUAGCAAAAUCCGGCAACUAAACGAUCCAACAACCUUAACAGUGCAGUCAGAGGAUGUACUGCUUCCAGUGGAAUGGGAACCCAGUCCCAACCAAAAACCAAAAUUCAUGACUCCAUGCAUGGCGUAAUGACGAAUUUGAUAACUGGACAAAAUUACCUGUUCAAGGAACAGGAAUUAAAAACUUCAAAGAUGACCCUGACAGUAACACCUGGCUUGCGCAUCCCAAAGGUUUCAAAGAAAGACACUAUAUUGCAGCACUUCAACUUCAGGCUAAUGUAUAUCCCACCAGGGAAAGCUUGAACAGAGGACAAAGGGGAUACCCAACACUCUGUCGCAAGUGCCAAGAGAAAACCGAAACAUGCUCACAUAUACUUGGACAAUGCCCUAGCGUUCAAUGUGCUAGAUUAAAAACUCAACAAGAUCUGUGACAUUUUAGCCGAAGAGGCUAAAGAACAGAAUUGGGAAGUCAGAAAAGAACCACAUUUCAGACUCGAAGGAUCAAAUGAACUGAGAAAACGAACCUCAUUUUCACAGAAAACAAAGAUUCAAUCGAUGUAACAAUACAAAAUGAACAGAUCCUACACACACUAAAGGAGGCAGCAAGGGAGAAAGUAGUUUACUAUGAGCCCCUGAAAGACCAGAUAAAAGAAAGAACAAGAGCCGAAAAAGUUACCUUCUACGGCUUUCCAAUUGGAGCGAGAGGAAAAUGGCAUGAGAGAAAAUAUAUCGUCCUUCAGAGUCUGGAGAUUAGAGAAAGUAGACAGUAACAGCUAAGAGCCCUACUUUACUUUCUCGACAUCCUCUAAAUGUUUGGCGGCAAAAACACAGCUACUGAACGUAACAAUGAUUGUAUGUAACUCAAAUGUAUAUAAUGUAACUAUAAAAUGUACUUCAAUGUUAUAUUAUGUACAGUACCUUUGUACAUAACCGAAAAAUGUUAACCCUUUUGUUGAAUUAAAAUCACAGCUAUAACCCCCUUGCUGGCAUCUAGCUAGGUCCUGCCCUUUACAGCCCUACCCUAGCCGGGACUGAAAUUGACUGGUGGGCACUUGAACUAGACAACCCUCCUUGACCUGGGGAUCUCAUAAUGAUUACAAUCGGCAUGGGAGCCCUCAAAGCCAUUGGUGGGUGUGUCAUCCCAGAUGCCGUCUUGCAAGCAUCAUUUUGGAUGAUUAAGUGGAGGGGCCACAGAACCCAGAAAAGAAACCAGUUAAUCUGGUGAUUAUAAAUAGCCAAAUGCCUCGUCAUCUAAUUAGUGACACGCAUGAAUGGAUGAAUAAGAUUCCCACUGUCCCUACCUACUAUCUAGCGAAACCACAGCCAAGGGAACAGGCAUGGCGGAAUCAAAGGGGAAAAAGGACCCUUUCACUCUAGUCUGGCACUGUAGAGAGACAUGAGAGGUGUAGAAUAAAUGGGAGGCCCCCCUCCUGGGGGUACCGCUGGUGAAAUACCACUACUCUUAUCUUUUCCUUACUUACCUGGUGAGGCGGUAGGGCCAGCCCCACACAGGCUCUUGUUUCUGUCACCCGCCAGCCAUGACCCACUCCGGGAACAGAAGCAGGUGGGGAGUUUGACUGGGGCGGUACACCUGUCAAACGGCAAUGCAGGUAUCCUAAAACGAGUUCAGGGAGGACAGAAACCUCCCGUGGAGCACAAGGGCAAAAGCUCGCUUGAUCUUGACUUUCAGAAUGAAUACAGACCGUGAAAGUGGGGCCUCACAAUCCUUCUGAUUGUUGGGGUUUUAAGCAGGAGGUGUCAGAAAACUUACCACAGGGAUAACUGGAUUGUGGCGGCCAAGCGUCAAUGGCGACGUCACUUUUUGAUCCUUUGAUGUCAGCUCUUCCUAUCAUUCUGAAGCAGAAUUCACCAAGUGUUGAAUUAUUCACCCACUAAUAGUUAAUAGUAGGUUAAUUUUACCAUACUACUGUUGUUGAAAUAGUAAUCCUGUUCAGUAUGAGAUAAAUCAUUUGCAGACGACCUAGUUCUGGGUCAGGGUGUCGUACAGAUGCAGCCAUUCAAAAUG
rnacentral:rRNA from 1 species